AUCUAGUAGGAGCCCACAGCUAAAAAAGGUUCCUACUUCCAAGACAUCACUACUCUUCACAGGAAUCAACUCACUGUCUAUGCAGUCAAUACAAGUCCAGGAACAUCAACUGAUGGAAGUCCUCUAAGCUAGGUUUCUUGCAAGACAGGAGCACACUCAGCUGCAACUUCAUGGAAGGAGAAGGUUCUUGGUAUUGCCAGUAUAUCUAGGAGGAGCCCACAGCUAAAAAAGGUUCGAACUUCCAAGACAUCACUUCUCUUCACUGGAAUCAACUCACUGUCUACGCAGUCAAUACAAGUCCAGGAACAUCAACUGAUGGAAGUCCUCUAAGCUAGGUUUCUUGCAAGACAGGAGCACACUCAGCUGCAACUUCAUGGAAGGAGAAGGUUCUUGGUAUUGCCAGUACAUCUAGGAGGAGCCCACAGCUAAAAAAAGGUUCGAACUUCCAAGACAUCACUACUCUUCACUGGAAUCAACUCACUGUCUACGCAGUCAAUACAAGUCCAGGAACAUCAACUGAUGGAAGUCCUCUAAGCUAGGUUUCUUGCAAGACAGGAGCACACUCAGCUGCAACUUCAUGGAAGGAGAAGGUUCUUGGUAUUGCCAGUACAUCUAGGAGGAGCCCACAGC
rnacentral:lncRNA from 1 species